rnacentral:rRNA from 1 species
GACAGAGGGUGCAAACGUUGUUCGGAAUUACUGGGCGUAAAGCGCGUGUAGGCGGCUAAGUAAGUCGGGCGUGAAAUCCCACGGCUCAACCGUGGAAGUGCACUCGAAACUGCAUAGCUAGAGUCCUGGAGAGGAAGGUGGAAUGCUUGGUGUAGAGGUGAAAUUCGUAGAUAUCAAGCGGAACACCGGUGGCGAAGGCGGCCUUCUGGACAGUGACGUGACGCUGAGACGCGAAAGCGUGGGGAGCAA